AUGCUCGCUUCAGCAGCACAUACACUCCAUUUGGAAUGAUACAGAGAAAAUUAGCAUGGCCCCUGGGCAAAGUUGACACGAAAGUUAAGUGUCCACUAAGUUAU
ensembl:snRNA U6 U6 spliceosomal RNA